rnacentral:lncRNA from 1 species
GACAAGCCAUACAAGUCUUUGGUAACUAGUCUCCUCUAGGUCAGGUACCCCCUCUGGUGGAAACAGCCAUGGCCGGGGCUAACACUGAGUGAGUACAAGGUUCAGUGAUCAACAGUGAGACUAAUGUCAGGAUUCCAGAAGGUUGUGUGGUGAGGCAGGUAAUGUCUGCAACAAGAGCUAUUAACAAUAGCUAAUUUUUGCAACAUUCACUAAUGUUGCUUUAUAUUCAGUGGUCACCUUCACUAGCAAAAGGUUGAGUACUUUUAAUUAAAAAAAAAGGAACAAUCUCAUAAUGUCAAGAAAAUAAGCAAAUAGUCACAAUUGUAGAGAGUUAUCCUGAAUAUCAGAAGUGUAUUUAGCACCGAGAACAAUAUUAUACACACACAAAACAUACAGGUUGAAAGAAGGAUCGAUGGUCUAACAAAAACCAGAAUAUAGUUUUAUAGACCACAGAAGAGAGGAGAAGGGCAGAAAAAAGACCUGGAGUUUGUAGGAGUCAAAGUCCUAGGUUUCAACACUAUGAAGUAGUAUUUGAAAGUCAGCAUUAAUAUGAAGGAAUUAGAAACUAAAAUAUAAUUUAUAUACUCCAUUUCAAUCCUUGUGACUCUUGAAAAAUUAUUUUUGUUUGGUUAAGUGUGAAUGAUAUGACUACUCAAGUAUUCUUCUGCUCUUGGCAAUUUUCUUUUUGCAUUUCUGGCACUCAGUUUUUUUCUA